UAACAAUGUGGCUGAUUUAGGCAGUAGAUUGUAAAUCUUCCCAUGGACAAUUUUCCCGUUGUU
rnacentral:tRNA from 1 species